AUGCAAAGUGUCAAAAAAUGGCAGAACAAGAACUUGAACAGAACUAACUUCAAAGAUACAUACAUUUAUGUCUUGCCAACAGAACUACCUACUGAUCUUCUCUAUAUACAACACGGAGACAUGAGCAGGAAAUUGCUAAGGCAUAAGCAUCCUGGGUGCCUGAGCUUCGUACAGGAAAAUGAUGCAAACAGUCAGGCAAAGAUCUGUGGACAGAGCUAUUGA
rnacentral:lncRNA from 1 species